GGGGCGGCAGGCUAAACAUGCAAGUCGAGCGGCAGCGGAAAGUAGCUUGCUACUUUGCCGGCGAGCGGCGGACGGGUGAGUAAUGUCUGGGAAACUGCCUGAUGGAGGGGGAUAACUACUGGAAACGGUAGCUAAUACCGCAUAACGUCGCAAGACCAAAGAGGGGGACCUUCGGGCCUCUUGCCAUCAGAUGUGCCCAGAUGGGAUUAGCUAGUAGGUGGGGUAACGGCUCACCUAGGCGACGAUCCCUAGCUGGUCUGAGAGGAUGACCAGCCACACUGGAACUGAGACACGGUCCAGACUCCUACGGGAGGCAGCAGUGGGGAAUAUUGCACAAUGGGCGCAAGCCUGAUGCAGCCAUGCCGCGUGUAUGAAGAAGGCCUUCGGGUUGUAAAGUACUUUCAGCGGGGAGGAAGGUGGUGAGGUUAAUAACCUCACCAAUUGACGUUACCCGCAGAAGAAGCACCGGCUAACUCCGUGCCAGCAGCCGCGGUAAUACGGAGGGUGCAAGCGUUAAUCGGAAUUACUGGGCGUAAAGCGCACGCAGGCGGUCUGUCAAGUCGGAUGUGAAAUCCCCGGGCUCAACCUGGGAACUGCAUUCGAAACUGGCAGGCUAGAGUCUUGUAGAGGGGGGUAGAAUUCCAGGUGUAGCGGUGAAAUGCGUAGAGAUCUGGAGGAAUACCGGUGGCGAAGGCGGCCCCCUGGACAAAGACUGACGCUCAGGUGCGAAAGCGUGGGGAGCAAACAGGAUUAGAUACCCUGGUAGUCCACGCCGUAAACGAUGUCGACUUGGAGGUUGUGCCCUUGAGGCGUGGCUUCCGGAGCUAACGCGUUAAGUCGACCGCCUGGGGAGUACGGCCGCAAGGUUAAAACUCAAUGAAUUGACGGGGGCCCGCACAAGCGGUGGAGCAUGUGGUUUAAUUCGAUGCAACGCGAAGAACCUUACCUACUCUUGACAUCCAGAGAACUUUCCAGAGAUGCAUUGGUGCCUUCCGGGAACUCUGAGACAGUGCUGCAUGGCUGUCGUCAGCUCGUGUUGUGAAAUGUUGGAUAAGUCCCGCAACGAGCGCCACCCUUAUCCUUUGUUGCCAGCGGUUCCGGCCGGGAACCUCAAA
rnacentral:rRNA from 1 species